GGCCACCUCCGGGGGGCUUUACCAAAGGCGGUUAAACUGCCGACAUAGCAAACGGAAGACAGAAA
rnacentral:ncRNA from 1 species